GUUUCUUCUUCUCCCUCGGGAAGCGCUGGGCGAUUGAUCUCUUUUUUCUUUUCCGUAGCUGCUGGUGACCAGCCAUCCUCCGGCGAACAACAUCCACUCUCCGCCUCGUUGUUGUCGUCUCCGCCUCGUCUCUCUAGUGCAAGGAUCUCGGCAACCAAUCGUCGUCUCCAAUCGAUCCUCGUCUCUUUGGCUCGUCGACACUUUUCAAGGCUUUCUCGGUCGACUACGACGAAGAGAUCAACAAAGGCAAUAGGUGGGUCUUCGAUGGCCGACAACUUCAAUGGAGCAGGAAGUGCCCUGAAAAUAUUUAGGCGAUGGAGGAUCUGCAUCGAUUGGGCUCAAAAAUGGUCGGGAUUGAGUUAGUUCCAUGGUUGCAGUUAGUAAGGGAUGGAGACCGAAAUGUGAAUCAAUGGGACUAAGUUAUUUUUUCUGAUUUUUUUAUUCAAAUGCUCACACAUAAUUCUGGGUUUACAUUGUAUUUUUUUUAAACAAUUAUUUUAACAUUUUGCUUCAAAUCAACAUACAUUGGAAUGUUAUUUGUUUUGGGUGUUAUAUUUGUGUUUGUUCAUUUGGUAUAAAAAUAUUGUGAGUAUUUUAUUUCUCUAAUAUUUAAAGAUUCAGAUGAUAGUAUAUAAGAA